GACGUAGGGCGCGAGCGUUGUCCGGAUUUAUUGGGCGUAAAGAGCUCGUAGGCGGCUUGUCGCGUCGACCGUGAAAACUCGCAGCUCAACUGCGAGCCUGCGGUCGAUACGGGCAGGCUAGAGUUCGGUAGGGGAGACUGGAAUUCCUGGUGUAGCGGUGAAAUGCGCAGAUAUCAGGAGGAACACCGAUGGCGAAGGCAGGUCUCUGGGCCAUUACUGACACUGAGAAGCGAAAGCAUGGGGAGCGAACAGG
rnacentral:rRNA from 1 species